UACGGAGGGUGCAAGCGUUAUCCGGAUUCACUGGGUUUAAAGGGUGCGUAGGAGGGCAGGUAAGUCAGUGGUGAAAUCUCCGGGCUUAACCCGGAAACUGCCGUUGAUACUCUCUGUCUUGAAUGUUGUGGAGGUGGGCGGAAUAUGUCAUGUAGCGGUGAAAUGCUUAGAUAUGACAUAGAACACCAAUUGCGAAGGCAGCUCACUACACAAAUAUUGACUCUGAGGCACGAAAGCGUGGGGAUCAAACAG
rnacentral:rRNA from 1 species